AGUCGGCCGCUCAACCGACUGAGCCACCCAGGCGCCCCCAGUGUCCUUAUUUCUUGCAGCUAAUUGCUUUCUUCCAGCACUUAGAAAAUCUGCAGAAAGAAUGUGAGAGCAGUCCUGUCUGCAUGGGUGCAAUUUCUUAAGGAAGGGACCCUUGCAUAUCUGAACAUGAUCUCUCCCUUUGAGCUCAAGAUGGGUGCUCAGGGGAACGUAUAGAAAAGGACAGUCCCAGCCCCUCCCAAAAGGGAACUAGGCAUUGGAGGAGCAAUGGAAAAGUCCAGAAGAAGAUGCACAUGACAGAGCUGUGCCAGAUGUGGUGUGAUUAUUGAUUCUGUUCCAAGUAGUCUUGGACUGUGAUCAAAAUCAGAAAAAAAAAAGUGCUUUAACAGAAAAUGUACCCAGGUAAUAUCAGUUUCUGGCUCAAGCUGGCCAGUGAAUGCAUGUACACGGCAGAGCCUGUUUGAAAGACUACUUUGGAAUAUUUUUUUAAAUUUUAUUUUAGAAAGAGAGAGCACGCAGACAAUGGGGAGAGACAGAGAAACGUAAGCAGGCUCCACACUCAGCGCAGAGCUCAACGUGGGGAUCAAUCCCAUGUCUCUGGGAUCACGACCUGAGCCACAAUCAUGAGUCGGACCCUCAACCGACUGAGCCACCUGGGCACCCCUUGAGAGACUACUUUGGAAGCCAGAUCAUGGACGACCAAGUUCACUGCCUCAACUGCCCCAAACCAAAGUGCCCUUUGUGGCCACCUGUAGUCAGGGGAAAGGACUAGUGCCAGAGGAAUCAUUUGCGUAUUAUGACCACGUUCUCCUCCAGUCCUCCCGGGACCUGAUGGGGGUGUGCUGACCUUGGCUCCCAUUCAUGCUGCCAGCUGUGAUGGCUCCACCAUGGGCAUGUGUGCCCGCCACAGUUAUGCCUUCUGUAUUCUGUGCCAACCGACCCCCUCUUAGAGCCCCUCCACAGGAGAUGACUGUAGGAUGUUGGGAUGUGUGAACUUGACAAACUAGAAAAAAAAAGCCUCUUCAUUUUAAUGGUAAUUUUAUUUCUUUUAUUUCUUUAUUUCAUCAUUUAUGCUCUUGGCAUAACCUGUUGUAGGUUCUGGGAAUACAGCGUCGAACCAAAGACACAAACACCUCUUGUCGGCACGGAGCUUACUUUCUACCGGUGGGGACACAGGCAAUGAGCCAAGCAAACAAGGAUAUUACGAGGUGGCCAAAAAAGAACUUUAGACUUAGAGUCUACGACACCAAGCAGGCUCC